rnacentral:lncRNA from 1 species
AUCCCAUCCCCCAUUGAAGAUCCUUAACAGUAAAGUCAAGGUUAUGCAUCAUCAAAUUUAGGAAACUAAGAAUGAAGGAAUCCGUAAUCUUCCCACGUAGCCUCUUCAGGAGAAAGAUUAGCCCACUGUACCAGAACUUCUGUCACUGCCUUGUUCCUUUUCUUAACCUCCGAUCCAAAAUCGCCACCAGUUCCACGGGAAUUUGGCCCUCGUUAUUGCAAAUUGGAGGAUCAAUCAUAGCUACCACUUGAUUACCCACUUUCUUCUUCAAUUGCGAAACAUGAAACACCGGGUGAAUUUUUGAUCCGGGUGGCAACUUCAAUUUAUAUGCUAUUUGGCCAAUUUUUUCCAAAAUCUGAUAAGACCCGUAGUACUUUGAUGCUAACUUCAGAUUUUUCCGUCUUGCUACCGACGCCAGUCGAUAUAGUUGCAGUUUGAGGUAUACCCAUUCUCCUUCCUCAAAAGCCCUCUCAGUUCUUUUAGAAUAUACAUAAAGUUUCAUCCUUUCUUGUGCUUUCUUCAGAUUUUCCUGCAACACUCGACCAAUCACUUGUCUUUCUUUUAACACUUCAUCCACUGAAUUCACCCGAGACUAAGCAAUAAGUUCAAAUGUUGGCAGGGGAGGAUCAUAGCGAUAAAGUGCCUUAAUAGCUGAGUGGUAAGUCGAGUUGUACCAGAAUUCCGCUAAGCUCAACCAUUUGCUCCAAUUCACAGGUUUAUGAACUGUCAUACAACGAAGGUAACAUUCCAAGCAUCUAUUCAACCUUGUUGUUUGACCAUCCGUCUGUGGAUGAUAUGUUGUACUCUGCCUUAGUUUCACUCCCAUUCCCUUAAACAAUUCCUUUCAAAACAAACAUGUAAAUGCCGGAUCUCUAUCAUAAACAAUUGAAACUGUACUUCCAUGUAACUUGUAAAUGAGAUCCAAGAAAACUUGUGCUACUUGUGGUGCUGUAUAUGGGUGGGAUAAUGCUAAAAAUGAGCAUACUUAGUAAAGCGAUCCACAACUAUAAAGAUUACCUCUUUACCAUUUAACUUAGGCAGUCCUUCAACGAAAUUCAUCGUAAUAUGAUCCCACGCCCUUGAAGGAAUUGGUAAGGGCUGAAGAAGCCCUGGAUAAGCCACAUUUUCUCCUUUGUUUCUCUAACAUAUAUCACAUUCAGAGACUAGCCUUUUAACAUCCUCAUUGAUUUUGGGCGAGUAGAAUAAAGACUUGAGUCUUUGCUGAGGAGCAUGGACACCUGAAUGUCCUCCCCAAGUAGUUAUGUGCAUAACUUCUACCAAUUGACACAUCGGUUUCCCACUGCUGCCAAUCCAUAUUUGGCCUUUGUGCUUUAAAAGGCCUUGUUGUAGGGUCACAUUUGGUACUGCAUUAGCAUCCGGUAGUAGUUGAGACAACACUUUAUCCAUUUCAAUGCCCUUUUCGUAGCUGCUUAAAACUUCUUGCAUCCAUGUUGGUUGCACUACUAAUAUUACCUUGCAUUUAGCCUCUUCUUCAAAUAGUCGAGAUAGAGCAUCUGCAGUCACAUUUUCUACCCCCUUUUUAUACUAUAUCUCGUAACUAAGACCCAACAACUUAGUUAGGCCUUUGUGUUGUAAGUAGGUAGUCAUUCUUUGGUCCUUUAAGAACUUUAAACUGAAAUGAUUAGUUUUGAUAAUGAAGUGGGCCGACUGCAAGUAGUGCCUCUAUUUUUCAAUAGCCAACAACAAUGCAAUCAGCUCCUUUUCAUAAGUGGAGAGCCCAAGAUGAUUUGGGCACAAGGCUUGACUAAGAAAGGCCAAGGGCCUACCUUCUUGCAUUAACACUACCCUAACUCUUGAUCCACAUGCAUCGGCCUCCACUAUAAAAGACUUGGAAAAGUCGGGUAGUGCCAAAAUAGGGGCCUGGAUCAUAGCUUGUUUCAAAAUUUCAAAUACUUGUGUUUCUUCAUUUGUCCAUAGAAAGGCUCCCCUUUUCAGCAGGUUGAUAAGAGGAUGACUAAUCAAAGCAAAAUGCUUGAUAAACCUUCUAUAAUAACCAGUCAGUCCCAAAAAACCUCUAAGAGCUUUUACACUGUUGGGCCUGGACCAAUUAAGCAUGGCUUCUAUUUUUGAGUCAUCAGUGUUGACCCCUUCACCCGAGAUAAUAUGUCCUAAAUACUCAAUUUGGGCCUGACCAAAAAUGCACUUGGAGCGUUUUUCAAAUACUUGAUUAGCCCGUAAUAGCUCAAAAACAUCUUAAGAUGGGCCAUAUGGUCAGUCAAAUUGGAACUAUAGACCAAUAUAUCAUCAAAGAAAACCAAGAUGAAUUUUCUAAGAUAAGGCCCAAAAUUUUUAUGCAUAAGUGCCUGAAAUGUUGCUGGGGCAUUAGUGAGCUCGAAGGGCAUAACACGAAACUGCCAAAAUCCAUGGUGGGUGUGAAAAGCAGUCUUGAACUCAUCCCCUACUUUCAUGCGAAUCUGAUAAUAGCCUGAUCAUAAAUCCAAUUUAGAAUAAAAAUAUGCUCCAUCCAAUUCAUCCAGUAUAUUUUCAACAACUGGAAUUGGAUAUUUAUUUUUCAUUAUAAUGUCAUUCGAUUUUCUGUAAUCCACACACAUCCGCCAAAAAGCAUCUUUCUUUUUCACCAAUAUAACUGGUGAAGCAAAGGGGUAUGAACUGGGAACUACAGUGCUAGUUUGUAGCAUCUCUUGAACAAAUUUCUCAAUGACAUUUUUCUGCUCAUAAGAGUAGCGAUAUGGCCUUUGAUUUACUGCUUUAGCACCAGGAAUUAGUUCAAUAGUGUAAUCACAGUCACGACUAGGAGGCAACCCUUUAGGCUCACUAAAUAAAUCCAUGUAACUGGAUAAUAUCUAUUCAAGCUAGGUUGGAAUGUCCACUGUAAUGAUUGUACCCUCUGAUGCAUUCAGUUGGGCCUGAGCCACAAAGCUACAAUAAUUUCCUUGUAACAAUUUCAUCAUUGCCUUGGCAUUGGUGGAUGAUAUCUGAGUAGCCUCUUAACUCCCAAACAAGGUCACCACACUAUCUCCCAUCAUGAAUGAAAUACUACGAGGAUUGAUAUUUAACAACACUGGAGCAACCGAAUCUAUCCAAUCCAUUCCCUAGAUUAUGUCGCAACCAGGGACCUUUAGCCAAUGCAAAUUAAAAGUAAAUGGAAUAUCAUUCAUCUCCCAAACAAAGCUAGGAUUUAAAUAAGUAUAAACCAUUUCAUACCUACUGGCUACAUUAACAUGCAUAGCCCUCUUCAUAGGUUCUCCCAGUAAGCCCAAUUUCUUUGGUACAUUUGGAUCAAUGAAACUGUGAGUUGAUCCACAAUCUAUUAAAAUGACAAGUGGAAUUCUUUUGACCCGACCCAAAAUUUUAAUUGUAGAUGGUGAAGAAUCCAAAGAGUUUAAGCCCAUUAAGAUAUUCAAAGAAACUUCAGCUGUUACUUCUGCACCCUCUUCCACUACUGGACUUUCCUCUUGGGCCUCGUCAACAACUUGAGCUGCACCUGAAUUUUCUCCUUUUUCAUACUCACCGGUCAUCAGUUUUAAUGACUUGGGCUUGCAUUGAUGCCCUGGGUAAUAUCGUUCAUGACAUUUAAAACAAAUAUUAUGUUGUCUCAAUACAUCUAAUGACAUAUUCUUGGGAACAGUCUGCUUUGUAGGCCCAUUGGUCAAUAGUUUCUGAGUUGUAGGAUUGGGAAAGGUUAGUAUGGUUUUAGCAUUUGAUGGUACUGAGUUGGGAGAAUUUAGAGUGAAUCUGGGAUAGGUAACUAUGUAUCUAGGCUGAAGGUUUUUAUAGAUAGCAGAUAAGGUCUCUUCAUGCAAUUUUGCAACCUCCAAAGCAUCCAUUAAUGUUAGAGGGUUAGAAGCUCUCACCAUUGAUUUUAAAUCAGCUUUAAGACCACCCACAAAACAUGAAACAAAAUAGGGUUAAUUAAGAGUUGUAUUUACUAAUAACAAGUAAUACCGCAACUCUUCAAUCUUCACCUGAUAGCUAUCCACGUCACCCUUUUGCUCUAAUCAAUUAAAUUCCACUACCACAUCCAUUGGUCUAAUGUUACUAUACCUCCGACACACAUCUAAGCAGAACAACUCUCACGAAACAUUUCCACCAUGAUCCAUCAUAUAAGCAUCAAACCAUGUAUCAAGUUUAUCCUUAACAUGCAUUGCAACAUACUGCAUUUUAAGGUCAGAAGGAACCUGGUAUAGUUCAAAAAAUUUGUCAAACCUUCUAAUCCAUCCCCGUGAGUUGUUGGUGUCAAAUUCUGGAAAGGUUAACUUGGCUUUUGGAAAAUUAACCAGAUUGUGUGUGUUUGCAGGUGUUUGAAUGAGAGUUGGACCCAAAGCAGGCAUUU